UAAAAACUCACUUGAUAAAAGGUACGUGUAACUGUGUAUAAGACUUUAUUUACAUUUAUUCUGAAUAAGAUUUGUUCAACUAAAGCAAAUUAGAGUUAGAACUCAUUCUCUAUAAUUAAAUACAUUUAAAUUGAUUCAAUUAUUAAAAUAAUCAUAAUAACUGUGACUGGUAGACUAUAAUCUCAACUUUUGAAAUAAUUUUUAAGCUAUUUCAAACCAACACUAAUGGUGCUUGUCAAUCAAGUUUUCUCAUAUCUUAACAACUAUAACGUGUUAAGCCUAGAUCCAAAGUUUAGCCUUACCAUAGAAGAGGUCUAAGUGAACAACACAAAUGGCCUUAGCCCAUUUAAUAUUGGGCUAAUUUUCACUAAAUCCAGUCGUCAGGACCAAUUUUUUUGUUGGUUCAAUGAGCCCAACUCUGAUAACAAAUUUUUGGACAAUUUACAAAAAUACCCUUAAAAUUAGGAAGUCUUCUGAAAACUCAUAUAAAAGAAUUUUUAAUGGUAAAAAAUACUAUCUAAAAUUAAAAAGUGACACAAUGUCACUUUCUUUAUAAAAAUUGCCAAAAUGUCACUUUUUAUAUUACAACAAAAACAUACAAUCUCAUUUUUAUUAAACAGUAAUGUUUGUAACUAAAAAAAGUGAUAGAAAUUCCAGGAAGACAACUAAAAAAAGUGAUAAACACUAAUAGAAAAAGGUGAUAACGCCACUUUUACAAUGUCAUUGAUUUUAAAUGGAUAUGAUAUUUGUAACUCAUAAAUUGUAAAUCAAGUUGUAAAAUAACUUGUAUGAUAUAAAAAAUGAUAACCACUUAAAGAGGCGAUAAAAAUUCAAAAAAGUGACAAAUUCAAAAAAAAAAAUUACACAAAUUCAAAAAAGUAAUACAAAAUAAAAAAAGCGACACACUUUACCACAUUCUUCUUAAGUAAACACUUUGUAUGCAUUCAAUCUAAUUGAUUCAAAGUUUUUCUUUUCAUACGUAUUAAUAUAAAAUAAGG
rnacentral:lncRNA from 1 species